rnacentral:lncRNA from 1 species
GAUAUGUAUCAAUAUAUCAUGGGCUGCAAACAUUGCAGUCCGCACUACGUAUCAGCCCUCCCACAAAAAUCAUCCACGAGCCGCCACUGACAAUAGACUACAGUAUAACAACUAUUUAUAUAGCCUUUACAUUGUAUUAGGUACUAUAAGUAAUCUAGAAAUGAUUUAAAGUAUACCUGAGGAUGUGCGUAGAUUAUAAUGUAAAUACUACGCUAUUUUAUAUAAAGAAUUCGAGUAUCCGAGGUUUUUAAUGUUCGCGCGGGAGGUCCUAGAACAAAUCUCCCUGCGAAUAUAGAAGGUCGAUUGUAUAUCAUUCAGUAAAGUAUAACCUAGCGCAGAUUCAGGUUGAGGACACCGUUUCACGUACUUCUCUCGUCAUUUGGAGAAAGCAAAGAAACAUAUAUACAGUAAUCAUUUAAGUUAUUAGCAAUGCAAUUAUUUGUAG